UUCAAUAUCUCUAAUGAUUCAAAAGUUAUAACAACUUGUCAAUGAAUUUUCGAAAUCGUCGCAAACGCUCAGAAACUGGAGGCAACCGUGAAAAUCCGGCAUGAAGUGCGAAUUUCUGAAUGGGUAAGGGGUGGGAGUGUAAAAGUCGAUGUUACAACUUUUCCGAGCCAACCACCGAAGGGUGAAAAAUUCAGGAAAUUUAAAAAAUUUUCAAAGCGACUAUUAGGAACAGCGGUUUUCUAGCUGUCAUUUGUGUGCGCGCGUGCACGUGUGCGUGCUGGAAACGGUUUGGCAAUACAUAGUCGCUAUCUACAGCCACUAUGAAAUUCUUGUAGAGCUUCACUUCCCAAACAAGAACCUGAAAACCGAAUUACUCCAUCUCCCUGAGUUUCCGAAAAAAACGAGCUGUUGACAAAACAGCUGCUUACGGCAUGCACUCUGCGAAAAACUGCAUAUUACAUGCAUGUUUAUUCCACGAAGAAAAUUAUUUCGAUCAGUGCUAAUGCUAAUUAAACUGAUCUUCAAUGUUCUUAGUGUAAAUAUAUCCUCAUAAAACUAUGUAGAAACAAAAACAAUUAACAAAUAUUCACUUUAUGAUUCGAAUAAUUGUGCAAUACCCGAAUAAAUAAACGGAAUAGUUUCUUCGGAUAAAUCAAUAGAAUAGCUUGUUCAAAUAAAUAGAUGGAAUAGUUUGUUCAAAUAAAUAGUUGGAACAGAUUGUUGGUAAAGUAAGUUAGUAAAUGAAAUAAUUUGUUAGGAUAAUAAAUAAUCAUUAUUCGAAUAAAAUAUUCGACAGUCAAGAAUUCAUUCGGACAACUAUAUUAGUGAAAUAUUUAUUUGAAAUAGUUCGAAUAAUUUUGAACUCUGCCUCGAGCCUGUUAGGCUGGGCGGUUCACAACCCCAAACCUCGGGCCACGAACUGCGCAAGAUGGGAAUGAAGGUGGGGGCCUUCUCAACCGAGUUGCUUCGUCUCGCAAAGGCGCAAGAUAUCCGUAGCACGGGCCAAGAAAUGCGCAAAACUGUGAGAGCAGCACUGUCUAGCUGUGAAGCGUUAAUCAAUCACAGGAGCAGAGCAGGUACUACUAGCAGAGGUACUACUGUUAUAUCAUUGAAUACGAGAUUUCAAUACUUAAAUGAACAUUUAAUCAAUUCGUUAAUUCGCAAGAAACUGUUCUUCGGAAUACAAAUAGAAAAUUAAAUAAAUUGCUAUAACACAAGUACAAAAAUUUAGUAUAACAUAGUUGUAUAACUUAAAAAGUUAUGAGGUGGAAAUGUACUUUAAUAUUCUUUUAAAUACUAAUAGUACAUAUAUACAUAUAGUAAUUAUAAUGAAUCAAUCACUUUCCUUAGAUUCUGCAUCACUGGAUGGUGGAGUACUUUCAAUAGGUUCUUCAUCACUGCCUUCAUCAGACUCAUCCUUCUUUUCUUUCUUUACCUUUUUAUCAUCAUCUUCCUAGAAGCCAAUAAAUUUAGAUUAUACUAUGUGUAAAUUACAUUGUAACAUUAUUCAAAUAGCGAAAUUAUUACCGUAGCAGCACGUUUGUCUCCUCUUUUCUUUCCCUUGUUUUCGUCACUAUCUUCAUCUGAACGUUUCUUUUCUGCUUUCUGAAAACAUGUAAAAAGAUGAAAACGUGUUAUGUAUUAUAACUCUAACUACCUGAACAACUUGUCUUGUGAAUUAUCUUAUAGAGCAGAUUUCACCAUCUCUUAUACCUUGUUGCCUUCAUCGCUACUACUGUCAUCCUCACUAAUAUAUUCCUUGCUCUUGAAAGUACUUCCUGACAUCAAUUUACUGGGAGAUUCUUUCUUCACUUCCUUCUUUUUCUUUUCACCUUUUUCUUUCUUUUCUUUCACUUCACCACCUCCACUAGCUACAUACUCUUUCAUUGAAGCCGCAUAUUCUUUUUUCGCCUUAGCUGCCUUCUCUUCCCAUUCCUAAAUAACACAUGUAAAAUAUGAAAAAUAAAUAAUUAUAAAAA